rnacentral:rRNA from 1 species
GACGAACGCUGGCGGCGUGCCUAACACAUGCAAGUCGAGCGGGAACCUCAGGAGGGGGUAACCCUUCUGAGGGGAGAGCGGCGAACGGGUGAGUAACACGUGGGCAACCUGCCCCGGACACCGGGAUAACCCAGGGAAACCUGAGCUAAUACCGGAUACUCCGGCGCGAUCGCAUGGUCGUGCCGGGAAAGCUCCGACGGUCCGGGAUGGGCCCGCGGCCUAUCAGCUUGUUGGUGGGGUAACGGCCCACCAAGGCGACGACGGGUAGCUGGUCUGAGAGGACGGCCAGCCACACUGGGACUGAGACACGGCCCAGACUCCUACGGGAGGCAGCAGGUGGGGGAUCUUGCGCUAAUGCGCGAAAGCGUGACGCAGCGACGCCGCGUGGGGAUG